rnacentral:rRNA from 1 species
UCAAGCUACAAAGGGCUCACGGAGGAUACCUAGGCACACAGAGGCGAUGAAGGACGUGGUUACCUGCGAUAAGUCUCGGGGAGUUGGAAGCACACUUUGAUCCGGGAAUUUCCGAAUGGGGCAACCCCUUGAACGACCAACUGAAUAUAUAGGUUGGUGCGAGCUAACCCAGCGAACUGAAACAUCUUAGUAGCUGGAGGAAGAGAAAGUAAAUAACGACUCCCUCAGUAGCGGCGAGCGAACGGGGAAUAGCCCAAACCGAUAGUCUUGACUAUCGGGGUUGUGGGACAGCAAUAUGGAUCAACAAUUCUAGAAGAAACGUUUGAAUGGCGUGCCAUAGAGGGUGAAAGCCCCGUAAUUGAAAGAUGAGUUGACCUAGCUGUAUCCCGAGUAGCACGGAGCACGUGGAAUUCCGUGUGAAUCUGCGAGGACCACCUCGUAAGGCUAAGUACUACUGUGUGACCGAUAGUGAAACAGUACCGCGAGGGAAAGGUGAAAAGAACCCCGGGAGGGGAGUGAAAUAGAACAUGAAACCGUGAGCUUACAAGCAAUGGGAGCCCGACUAAUCGGGUGACCGUGUGCCUGUUGAAGAAUGAGCCGGCGACUUAUAGGCACUGGCGGGUUAAACCGGAAAUGGUGGAGCCACAGCGAAAGCGAGUCUUAAUAGGGCGUUUGUCAGUGUUUAUAGACCCGAACCCUGGUGAUCUAACCAUGGCCAGGAUGAAGCUUGGGUGAUACCAAGUGGAGGUCCGAACCGACUGAAGUUGAAAAUUCAGCGGAUGAGCUGUGGUUAGGGGUGAAAUGCCAAUCGAACCAGGAGCUAGCUGGUUCUCCCCGAAAUACGUUGAGGCGUAGCGUCUAGUGCUCCAGCAGGGGGGUAAAGCAACCAUUUCGGUGCGGGCUGCGAAAGCGGUACCAAAUCGAUAUGAACUCUGAAUACCCUGUGUGUAACUAGGCAGUCAGACUGUGGGGGAUAAGCUCCAUAGUCAAGAGGGAAACAGCCCAGACCGCCAGCUAAGGUCCCAAAAUUAACGCUAAGUGAUAAAGGAGGUGGGAUUGCCCAGACAACCAGGAGGUUUGCCUAGAAGCAGCCAUCCUCAAAGGAGUGCGUAAUAGCUCACUGGUCGAGCGAUCCUGCGCCGAAAAUGAAUGGGGCUAAGCGUUAUACCGAAGCUGCGGAUAAAUUUAUUUAUGGUAGGGGAGCGUUCUAUGUUGGGUGAAGCGUUAGCGUAAGCGGACGUGGACGGCAUAGAAGUGAGAAUGUCGGCUUGAGUAGCGAAAACAUGGGUGAGAAUCCCAUGCCCCGAAACCCUAAGGGUUCCUCCGGCAGGCUCGUCCGCGGAGGGUUAGUCUGGACCUAAGGCGAGGCCGAAAGGCGUAGUCGAUGGAUAACAGGUCAAUAUUCCUGUACCAGUUAUGUUUUGGGAAGGGGGACGGAGAAGGCUAGCCAGGCCAGAUGUUGGUUACUGGUUCAAGCGUUCAAGGCUUUGAGAGAUGGAGAAAACAUCUUGAGCUGAGGCGUGAGUACGAGCUGCUACGGCAGCGAAGUUGGUGAUGUCAUGCUUCCAAGAAAAGCCCUAUACCCGUUAAGACAUAAAUGCCAGUACCCGAAACCGACACAGGUGGGGUGGUAGAGAAUACCGAGGGGCGCGAGAUAACUCUCUCUAAGGAACUCGGCAAAAUGGCCCCGUAACUUCGGGAGAAGGGGUGCCAGCGAGAGCUGGUCGCAGUGAAGAGGCGCAAGCGACUGUUUACCAAAAACACAGGUCUCCGCUAAGUCGCAAGACGAUGUAUGGGGGCUGACACCUGCCCAGUGCCGGAAGGUUAAGGAAGCUGGUUAGCUUUUGGCAAAGCUAGCGACUGAAGCCCCGGUGAACGGCGGCCGUAACUAUAACGGUCCUAAGGUAGCGAAAUUCCUUGUCGGGUAAGUUCCGACCCGCACGAAAGGUGUAACGAUUUGCGCGCUGUCUCGGAGAGAGGCUCGGCGAAAUAGAAUUGUCUGUGAAGAUGCGGACUACAUACACCCGGACAGAAAGACCCUAUGAAGCUUUACUGUAGUUUGAUAUUGUGCUCGGGCUCUAAUUGCGCAGAAUAGGUGGGAGACGUUGAAAUAGUGCUUGUGGGUAUUAUUGAGUCAUCGGUGAGAUACCACUCUAUUAGAGCUAGGGUUCUAACGCUUACCCGUUAUCCGGGAAGCGGACAGUAUCUGAUGGGCAGUUUGACUGGGGCGGUCGCCUCCUAAAAGGUAACGGAGGCGCACAAAGGUUCCCUCAGGCUGGUUGGAAAUCAGUCGUUGAGUGCAAAAGCAGAAGGGAGCUUGACUGUGAGACCUACAAGUCGAACAGGGACGAAAGUCGGUUUUAGUGAUCCGACGGUUCUGCGUGGAAGGGCCGUCGCUCAACGGAUAAAAGUUACUCUAGGGAUAACAGGCUGAUCUCCCCCAAGAGUUCACAUCGACGGGGAGGUUUGGCACCUCGAUGUCGGCUCAUCGCAACCUGGGGCUGAAGUCGGUCCCAAGGGUUGGGCUGUUCGCCCAUUAAAGCGGUACGCGAGCUGGGUUCAGAACGUCGUGAGACAGUUCGGUCCAUAUCCGGUGUAUGCGCAGGAAUAUUGAGAGGAUUUCUCCCUAGUACGAGAGGACCGGGAGGAACGCACCUCUGGUGUGCCAGUUAUCGUGCCAACGGUAAACGCUGGGUAGCCAUGUGCGGAGUGGAUAACCGCUGAAAGCAUCUAAGUGGGAAGCCCACCUCAAGAUGAGUAUUGCCAUGGCUUAAGCCAGUAAGGUCACGGGAAGAACACCCGUUGAUAGGCUCUACGUGGAA